AAGAAAUUGAGCGCAUGGUUGCUUUUGCGGCCCAAAAGAAUGAAUAUUAGAAAACAUUUAAAAAAAAGUCUAAGGUAAUACAAUUAUAUGCAACUAAAAUUAAUCACAAUAAUUUGCACUUAUGACAUAAUGUGAUAAUCAUGUGUAAAAACUCUUUUCAACUAUUAUUUUUCACAAAAUAAUUUUGCGGAUCAGUUUGCUCCGAGCGCUUGUGUUGUUUACCAAGAAAAUGCAGCCCUGUUGGUUUUUAUUUCUGUAUCGCAUCGCGGCGAGUUUCCAUUUCUUGGUAAUUCGGUUUGUGAAAUGACUAUUAAUUACAAGCACAGCAUCAUCAACGGUGAUUGCAAGAACUACUGCAGUCCCUGCGGUUUUUCCUCUUGGUAAAUGCGUUCUGGUCGUGACCAAGGGUGGUCUCCCAAAUCGGCUGGGAAUAAGGCUAUUGUUGCAGAACAUAACGCCGCAACCACUGCUGUGGUAAAUAUGUUCCAGCAGAGCUGCCCACCGCCGUCGGUGUAAUGAUUUCGAUAGCUGAACAAACGCCAUCUCCUGGGCAUUCCCACAGCUUGCCGACACUAGCUAUUAU